rnacentral:lncRNA from 1 species
GGGAUGUUGUAGAACACAAAUGGAGAGAAGUUGGACUGGAAGAAAAGGAUUUGGAUCAUUAAAUUGAUUCACAAAGUGAGGUAGAUGGCACUGUGAUGAGACUGACGAAACUGAAUGGAAGGGCAAAAGGAUUCAGUUAUGUGCCGGAGAAAAAUUCAAAUUUGAAGGCUUUUGGAUGUUUAUCUUGGGCAAAGGUUUACAUAUGAACUGAAAAGCUCAAGAUUAUCUACAACUUUGGUUAAGACACAUGUGCACCGUCGGAUUGAAAAUCAACCGCAAUUUGGCUCUGAAGAUUUCGGGCGCCAGAGAUAAGGAGGGGGAGGAUGACAGAG